CACACUACGCAUACUUCGAAUUUCUUGGGGUUGCAACAAAAUGGUGGCGUUUGGCAGGAAUCCAACUACGGCAGAAGUGUGAUUAUCGGGCUUUUGGACUCCGGGAUUACAUCGGACCAUCCCUCUUUCCACGACAACAACAUGCCACCUCUACCGGCAAAGUGGAAAGGGAAGUGCGAGUUUACCGGCAACGUAACUUGUAACAAUAAGCUCAUCGGUGCAAGGAACUUACUGGGCAGUGGCUCAAGUGAUCCACCAUUUGAUUAUACGGGCCAUGGAACACACACAUCAAGCAUGGCUGCUGGCAACUUUGUUGAUCGUGCCAAUAUUUUUGGGAAUGCCAAUGGCUCAUUAGCCGGCAUGGUCCCUUUUGCCCAUAUAGCCAUGUACAAAGUGUGUACCGAAGGCGGGUGUGAAGAAGCUGACAUGGUGGCUGCGAUUGAAGUUGCCAUUCAUGAUGGUGUAGACGUGAUAUCAGGUUCAAUUGGUGGAUUUCACCGUAGCUUUCAUGAAGACUACAUCACUGUUGGUUCUUUCGCUACGAUGCGAAACGGGAUCAUUGUGGUCACUUUUGCCAGGUAACAUGUGGUCGCUAGAAAGGAACGGUAGUAGCUCUCGAGAUUCACUUCAGAAGUGGGCAAACUUACGUGAAUAAAGUAAAUUUGCAGUGUAUUUUGGUCCCCGAGAGUACUACUGAGGUAGAAACUGAACAACAAAAUCAGAGAUGAAAAAAGUAUAAGACGGGACGAAGAAGCCAUUUAGCAGUAGUUUAAUUUGCAACUAUAUCAAGAGAAAGAGAAAAUUGUAAGUCUCGCAGGUAGGAAACCAGUCGUAGAACCCAACAGAGCAAUAUCCAAAUAACCAAAGCUAAUCUUUUAGCGUAUCAGGAGAAUAAGAAAAAUAUAAAAAAAAUUAAAUUUGCACUUGUUUAGACUAAAAGACCAAUUGAUCUCAUUAACUAACUCUAGAGCCUCCUAUUUCUGGAAUUGUAUUAACUUCUGUGGUUUGAUAGAUCUAGGCUUUAAAGGGAGUAAGUACACCUGGACCAACAAGAGAUACAGGAAUAGACACUCCUUAAUCCUAGAAAGACUAGAUGUAUGGCUAAUGAAGCCUGGAUGAAUCUCUUUCCUGAGUCUACAGUCUUACGCCUCCCUAGAACUCACUCUGACCACUGUCCCCUGCUGCUCAAUCUAUCUAAAGGCACCCCCUACUUCCAAGCCCUUUAGACUAGAACCAAUGUGGUGCUCCCAUCCUUCCUUCCCUUCUCUAGUCAGGAACUCUUUCCAGGCUGAUAAAACUCUCACUGAAGCCAUAGCCACUUUGGAUCCCAUGUUAAACGUUGGAAUAGAGAAGUCUUUGGUAACAUUUUUCUCAAGAAAAAGAAUCUUCUAGCCAGGCUAACAGGGAUCCAAAAAUCCCCUCAUUACCCUCACAGUAGAUUCCUGCAUGAGCUUGAAUUAACCCUUACCAGGGAAUUUAGUGAUAUCCUCCUUCGGGAACAGGAAUUGUGUAGACUAAAAUCCAGAAUCAACUAGCUUACUGAGGGGGAUAACACUAAAUUCUCCCCUGCUUCCACCAUUAAUAAAAGAAGAAUGAAUAAAAUUAAUUCCCUAAAGAGUGAUGCUUGAGACCGGCCUAUUCUGUUCAGGACAUCAAGGAUAGGAUCCACAAUUUCUAUCACAAUCUCUAUAGGACUGAGCAUCAUUCCUCUCCAAAAAAUUACCAAUCAAAUCCUUCCAAGCAUGGCUUAAUACCUUCUGAAGAUCAUCAUUACCUAACAACCACCCCCUCCAUCCAGGAAAUCUAGAGGGUUGUUUUCUCCUUCCACCCUACCAAAGCUCCUGGCCCAGAUGGAAUUCAUCCAUUUCUGUACCAAAAGUACUGGAAUCUGAUGAACCAAUCUGUAGCGGACUUUUGUAGGGACAUUUUCACUUCUUGCACCAUGGAAGGGAAAGUGAAUGUGUCCUACUUAUGUCUAAUUCCUAAAUGCAAAAAUGCUGUUAAUCUGAGGAACUUUAGACCCAUUGGGUUAUGCAACACCCAAUACAAGAUCAUCACUAGAAUCAUUGCCAAUAGAAUCAAGCCCUUCCUUAAUGGUAUCAUUAGCCAAAGCCAAGCUAGUUUCCUUACUCAUAGAAGAUUGUCUGAUCAUGCCAUUGUGGUUCAAGAAUUCAUUUCCCAUUUUGCCAAAAUGAGGGGUAAAAAGGCCAACAUGAUCCUCAAGAUUGAUUUAGAAAAAACUUUUGACAGAAUUGAGUGGUCCUUUGUUAGGCAAGCCUUGCUUUUCUUUAACUUUCCUCUGAAACUCAUCAAACUCAUCAUGUCGUGCCUCACCACCUCCUCCAUAUCUGUCUCGGUAAAUGGAGGAAAGACCACCUUUUUCAGACCACUAGAGGUAUCAGACAAGGGGACCCCAUGUCCCCUUACAUCUUCAUACUCUGCAUGGAAUUGCUCUCCAGAAGGAUUGACCAUGAAGUUGAUAUCCUGAGCUGGGCCCCAUUUCAAUAAUUAGGGGUGGAACUAAAUUGCCCCAUCUGUUCUUUGCAGAUGACCUUACUCUCUUUGCCAAAGCUGACAGCCAAAACUGUCAAACUAUCAUGAAUACCCUCAAUAGUUUCAGUCACUACUCAGGACAAAAGGUCAACUCCUCCAAGUCCAUAGUCAUCUUCUCUAGUAACUGCUCAGUUGAAGAUAGAGUCAACCUCUCCAAUCUCCUGAACAUCCCAGCUAGGGAUAAUUUUAGUAAAUACCUAGGUUUUCCUAUCUUCCAUAAGAAACCCACCAAUGGGGACUUCCAAUUCAUUCUGGAUAACCUCAACUCCAAGCUAGCAGGGUGGAAAACCAAAAUGCUAAACAUGGCAGGGAGAACUACCCUGGUUAAGGCUACUUUGAGCAAUAUUCCAAAUCAUAUUAUGCAAUUUAUUAGCCAUACAUCUAUCUAGUUUUUCUAGGAUUAAGGAGUGUCUAUUCCUGUAUCUCUUGUUGGUCCAGGUGUACUUACUCCCUUUAAAACCUAGAUCUAUCAAACCACAUAAGUUAAUACAAUUCCAGAAAUAGGAGGCUCUAGAGUUAGUUAAUGAGAUCAAUUGGUCUUUUAGUCUAAACAAGUGCAAAUUUUAUUUUUUUUAUAUUUUUCUUAUUCUCCUGAUACGCUAAAAUAUUAGCUUUGGUUAUUUGGAUAUUGCUCUGAUUGGGUUCUACGACUGAUUUCCUACCUACGAGACUUACAUUUUUCUCAUUCUCUUGAUACAGUUGCAAAUUAAACUACUGCUAAAUGGCUUCUUCGUCCCGUCUUAUACUUUUUUCAACUCUGGUUUCACUGAUCAGUUUCUACCUCAGCAGUACUCUCGGGGACCAAAAUGCCCUGCAAACUUACAUCAUUCACGUAAGUUUGCCCACUUCUGAAGUGAAUCUCGAGAGCUACUACCGUUCCUUUCUACCUGUAGAUGAUGAUCUAACCCCAUCAUCACAACUCAUUCACUCUUACCGCCACGUUAUUUUUGGCUUUGCAGCCAGACUGACACACGAUGAACUUCAGGAAAUGGAGAAAAAGGAGGGGUUCAUCACAACAAAGCCGCAAAAGAUGUUGGCCUUUCACACUACGCAUACUCCGAAUUUCUUGGGGUUGCAACAAAAUGGUGGCUUUUGGCAGGAAUCCAACUACGGCAAGGAUGUGAUUAUGGGGCUUUGGGACUCCGGGAUUACACCGGACCAUCCCUCUUUCCACGACAACAACAUGCCACCUCUACCGGCAAAAUGGAAAGGGAAGUGCGAGUUUACCGGCAGCGUAACUUGUAACAAUAAGCUAUCGGUGCAAGGAACUUACUGGGCGGUGGCUCAAGUGAUCCACCAUUUGGUUAUACGGGCCAUGGAACACACUUCAAGCACGUCUACUGGCAACUUUGUUGAUCGUGCCAAUAUUUUCGGGAAUGCCAAAGGCACAUCAGCCGGCAUGGCCCCUUUUGCUCAUAUAGCCAUGUACAAAGUGUGUACCGAAGGCGGGUGUGAAGAAGAUGACAUGUGGC
rnacentral:lncRNA from 1 species